rnacentral:rRNA from 1 species
UCCUACGGGGGGCAGCAGUGGGGAAUAUUGCACAAUGGGCGCAAGCCUGAUGCAGCGACGCCGCGUGGGGGAUGACGGCCUUCGGGUUGUAAACCUCUUUCAAUAGGGACGAAGCGCAAGUGACGGUACCUAUAGAAGAAGGACCGGCCAACUACGUGCCAGCAGCCGCGGUAAUACGUAGGGUCCGAGCGUUGUCCGGAAUUACUGGGCGUAAAGAGCUCGUAGGUGGGUUGUCGCGUUGUUCGUGAAAACUCACAGCUUCACUGUGGGCGUGCGGGCGAUACGGGCAGACUGGAGUACUGCAGGGGAGACUGGAAUUCCUGGUGUAGCGGUGGAAUGCGCAGAGAUCAGGAGGAACACCGGUGGCGAAGGCGGGUCUCUGGGCAGUAACUGACGCUGAGGAGCGAAAGCGUGGGGAGCGAACAGGAUUAGAUACCU